rnacentral:miRNA from 1 species
GAGCUUGGAAGUGCAUCCGGC